rnacentral:snRNA from 1 species
AGGUUCAAGGCCAACCUGGGCUACAUAGCUAUCUUAAAAAAAAAAAACCCACAAAAAUCCAAAGAAAAGAAAGUAGACUCAGCUGAUGUGGCUUCAAGACAGGUGUCCCCUUCCUUCCUCGGGGCUCCAUGUGCAUCUGUCCUGAGCGGCACACUCAGCAAAGAGAGCCCUUUCUGGUAGAGGAGGACCAGGCUGUCCUUCCUUCGUGGUCUAUGAGUAGCAGCACUCUAAUGCUAUCAAUUUCAAACAAGAUCUCAAGAAAUAACAGGUCUUGGGUUGGGCACAUGGCUCAGUGAUAGUGUUUGCCUAGCAUGUAU